GCUCCCUUUGGUGCUGCAUGUACUAAAAUAGGAACAGGUAUAGAGAUUAGCUUGGCCCCUGCGCAGAGAUGACACACAGAUUCAUGAAGUGUCCUGUGUUAAA